rnacentral:pre_miRNA from 1 species
AAUAUAAGGUACUUUGAUUUUUCACUUGCAACUUUUAUCAUUCGUCUUAUUCAAAUUUUUUUUAAAAGUAUUAUUUAUUUUAUUUGUGAUUUACUUUAUUAUCAAAAGUACUUUAAUCAUUACUUAUCAUUUUUAAAAUUUGCAAUAAAUUUUUGAAUAAGACGAAUGGUCAAAGUUGCAGACAGAGAU